rnacentral:rRNA from 1 species
GCCAGACUCCUACGGGAGGCAGCAGUGGGGAAUAUUGCACAAUGGGGGAAACCCUGAUGCAGCGACGCCGCGUGAGUGAAGAAGUAUUUCGGUAUGUAAAGCUCUAUCAGCAGGAACGAGACAAGACGGUACCUGACUAAGAAGCCCCGGCUAACUACGUGCCAGCAGCCGCGGUAAUACGUAGGGGGCAAGCGUUAUCCGGAAUCACUGGGUGUAAAGGGAGCGUAGACGGCUGUGCAAGCCUGAAGUGAAAGGCGGGGGCCCAACCCCCGGACUGCUUUGGGAACUGUACGGCUGGAGUGCAGGAGAGGUAAGUGGAAUUCCUAGUGUAGCGGUGAAAUGCGUAGAUAUUAGGAGGAACACCAGUGGCGAAGGCGGCUUACUGGACUGUAACUGACGUUGAGGCUCGAAAGCGUGGGGAGCAAACAGGAUUAGAUACCCUCGUAA